CACGAUUUCCGAUUUGGAUUCUCCAUCUAGUGGCGGACGGGUGAGUAACACGUGGGUGACCUACCUUUGAGUUUGGGACAACUACUGGAAACGGUAGCUAAUACCAAAUAAUAUACAGUUUCGUUUCUGUAUUAAAAGGCGCUUUACAGCGUCGCUCUUAGAUGGGCCUGCGGCGUAUUAGCUAGUUGGUGAGGUAAUGGCUCACCAAGGCGACGAUGCGUAGCCGGACUGAGAGGUUGAUCGGCCACAUUGGGACUGAGACACGGUCCAGACUCC
rnacentral:rRNA from 1 species